rnacentral:rRNA from 1 species
UACAGAGGGUGCAAGCGUUAAUCGGAUUUACUGGGCGUAAAGCGUGCGUAGGCGGUUCAUUAAGUCGGUUGUGAAAUCCCUGGGCUUAACCUGGGAACUGCAGUCGAUACUGAUGGACUAGAGUGCGGUAGAGGGUGGCGGAACUCCGGGUGUAGCGGUGAAAUGCGUAGAUAUCCGGAAGAACACCGAUGGCGAAGGCAACCACCUGGGCCUGCACUGACGCUGAGGUACGAAAGCGUGGGGAGCAAACGGG